CAAACGACUCUCGGCAACGGAUAUCUCGGCUCUCGCAUCGAUGAAGAACGUAGCGAAAUGCGAUACCUGGUGUGAAUUGCAGAAUCCCGCGAACCAUCGAGUCUUUGAACGCAAGUUGCGCCCGAGGCCACUCGGCCGAGGGCACGCCUGCCUGGGCGUCACGC
rnacentral:rRNA from 2 species